UGAGGAAUAUUGGUCAAUGGGCGGAAGCCUGAACCAGCCAUGCCGCGUGCGGGAAGAAGGCCCUACGGGUUGUAAACCGCUUUUCCCCGGGAAGAAUAACCCCGACGCGUCGGGGGAUGCCGGUACCGGGGGAAUAAGGAUCGGCUAACUCCGUGCCAGCAGCCGCGGUAAUACGGAGGAUCCGAGCGUUAUCCGGAUUUACUGGGUUUAAAGGGUGCGUAGGCGGCCCUGCAAGUCAGCGGUGAAAUGUGGCGGCUCAACCGUUUCGCUGCCGCUGAUACUGUAGGGCUUGGAUGCGGUCGAGGCGGGUGGAAUUCGUGGUGUAGCGGUGAAAUGCAUAGAUAUCACGAGGAACGCCGAUAGCGAAGGCAGCUCGCCGGGCCGCGAUCGACGCUGAGGCACGAAAGCGUGGGGAUCAAACAG
rnacentral:rRNA from 1 species